UGUCCAAAAUGUUCUCAUCCUUCUACCCGAUGAUCCUCAGUGUAAGUUGGUAUUUUGCUUUUCAAUUAUCUUUUCUAACUUGUUCUCUCCUCUUUUUAGUUAGCACACGAUAUAUCAACAUUCAAGAGUGGUUAUCGAAAGAUCGUGGACUUUCGCUGACUAUGGAGUAAUAAGAUUUCGACCGCGAAUGCUGAGAAGGCGGCUGCCAUUGAAUACCUCCAGGUGGCAAC
rnacentral:lncRNA from 1 species